rnacentral:lncRNA from 8 species
UCACUUGCUUUGGCAAUGUUAACACAUGUUUCCCAUGCCAAUAAAGCCCCUUGAAUUGAAUUGAUAUCCCCCCCACACUACCUGCUGCCUCGCGUCACAUUAACUGACGUCACGGAGCUGUCCUCGCGAGAGCAGUGGAGAGAGCAAUGCAGAGAGCGCGAGAGAUGCAGCUUAGUGAGGGGAGCACUUCAACAGCAAAACAAAUAGCUAUAUCCCUGAAAAACGGACGGGUUCAUUGUAUUAUGUCCUCGAAUCGUUUUUGUAUCUACUACUGCGAUAUUUAGCCUUUGUUUUGAUGCAGUCUACAUAUGUAGCCUACACCGGGGAGGUAACUGUAGCCAAGCAAAACAGUGAAGAACAGGCGGCCGGUAGAGGACAGCCGGGGACGCUCAGAGCUACUUUCAGAGAUGUCCCUUCUCUGUGUCAGAGUCAGGGAAUUUCACACAUCAUCCCCUUUUGUCCGUUGUCAUGGAGACUUUGUCCAAGCAGGCCUGUAUUGAGUAUUAUCAGCUGUGCAGUGAAGAAAGCCAAGCUGGAUGGACCCCAAGAAACUUUUCGGACUGUAGUUCUUAAAACAGUACCAGACGAACGGCAGUCUCGAGGCCAGGCAGGGGUUCAGCAACCAAAUCCGAGUCCAAACAGUACAAGGGGAUAGGCAGGCUUGAAGACAGAACAGUCAGAGUGGUCAGGCAAGUGGGUUCGGAGUCAGGACAGGCAAGGGUCGAAACCAGGAGGACUAGAAACAAGAGAGAAAGGGAAAAAAUGGGAGCAAGGGAAACAUUUUGGGGAUACCGCGUGUGUGUGUGAUGCCUGUUUGAACGAGUGUAUUAGACCCCACACACACACACACACACACCUGCAUAAACACACAAUCGACCUGUCUCCACCUACAGUGCAUUCGAAAAGUAUUCAGACCCCUUCACUUUUUCCACAUUUUGUUACAUUACAGCCUUAUUCUAUAAUGGAUUAAAUAAAACAAUUCCUCAUCAUUCUACACACAAUACCCCAUAAUGACAAAGCAAAAACAGGUUUUUAGAAUUGUUUGCAAAUUUAUUAAAGAUAAAAACAGAUACACAAGUAUUCAGACCGUUUGCCAUAAGACUCAAAAUUGAGCUCGGGUGCAUGCUGUUUCCAUUGAUCAUCAUUUGAGUCCACCUGUGGUAAAUUCAAGAUUCUCUGGUCUGAUGAAACCAAUAUUGAACUCUUUGGCCUGAAUGCCAAGCGUCCCAUCUGGGGGAAACCCAGCACCCUCCCUACGGUGAAGCAUGGUGGUGGCAGCAUCAUGCUGUGGGGAUGUUUUUCAGCAGCAGGUAUUUUGGUAUUUUAUUAGGAUCCCCAUUAGCUGUUGCAAAAGCAGCAGCUACUCUUCCUGGGGUCCACACAAAACAUUAAACAUAAUACAGAAUGACAUUAUGCGGAACAUCAUUAGACAAGAACUGUUCCAUGCAAUAAGGGCUCUAUAUAAUACUGUACAUUUUCUUGAAUUUGGGGACUAUGAAAAGACCCCAGGUGGCAUAUCUGGUGGGAUAAGUGUGUGUGUCAGAGCUGUGUGUAAGUUGACUGUGCAAACAAUUUGGGAUUUUCAACACAAGAAUGUUUCUUAUAAAAAGAAGUGAUGCAGUCAGUCUCUCCUCAACUCUUAGCCAAGAGAGACUGGCAUGCAUAGUAUUUAUAGCAGCCCUCUGAUUACAAUUAAGAGCAAAACGUGCCGCUCUGUUCUGGGCCAGCUGCAGCUUAUCUAGGUCUUUCCUUGCAGCCCCGGACCACACGACUGAACAAUAAUCAAGAUUAGACCAAACUAGAGCCUGCAGAACUUGCUUUUUGGAGUGUGGUGUCAAAAAAGCAGAGCAUCUCUUUAUUACGGCUAGACUUCUCCCCAUCUUUGCAACCAUUGAAUCGAUAUGUUUUCACCAUGACAGUUUACAUUCUAAGGUAACGCCAAAUAAUUUAGUCUCCUCAACUUGUUUAACAGCCA